rnacentral:rRNA from 1 species
AGUGAACGCUGGCGGUAGGCCUAACACAUGCAAGUCGAACGGCAGCACAGUAAGAGCUUGCUCUUACGGGUGGCGAGUGGCGGACGGGUGAGGAAUACAUCGGAAUCUACUUUUUCGUGGGGGAUCACGUAGGGAAACUUACGCUAAUACCGCAUACGCCCUACGGGUGAAAGCAGGGGAUCUUCGGACCUUGCGCGAUUGAAUGCGCCGAUGUCGGAUUAGCUAGUUGGCGGGGUAAGGGCCCAGCAAGUCGACGAUCCGUGGCUCGUGUGAGAGGAGGAUCGGCCGCACGGGAGCUGAGACACGGUCCAGACUCCUACGGGAGGCAGCAGUGGGGAAUAUUGGACAAUGGGCGCAAGCCUGAUCCAGCCAUACCGCGUGGGUGAAGAAGGCCUUCGGGUUGUAAAGCCCUUUUGUUGGGAAAGAAAAGCAGCAGGUUAAUACCCCGCUGUUCUGACGGUACCCAAAGAAUAAGCACCGGCUAACUUCGUG